rnacentral:tRNA from 1 species
UCUUAGGUGCCUGAGAAGGUAAAGAAUCCACCUGCAAUGUGGGAGACCUGGGUUCGAUCCCUGGGUUAGGAA